rnacentral:lncRNA from 1 species
CAAUGAUCUGAGGUCCUUCUGAUAAGGGUUUCUUGAAUGCCUUGGGGAAAUAGCUGCCCCCACUCAUUUGAGUAAAGAAAACGGUCUAAUCUCUUGCACACGGGAGACUCUUGCAUAUUUGACCAAGUGAAUGAUGCGUUCCGAAGAGGUGGAUCAAGUAAUUCACUUUCACUAAUAAAACUAUCAAAGUCCCUCAUGCUUGAAGUUAGCCUAGAGCCCCCCAAUUUUUCUGAACUUCUCCUUAUGACAUUAAAAUCACCGCCCACACACCACAACGGAAAAGUUAGACCAUAAAUGUCAUAAAGUUCCACCCAAAAAUCCUUCCUAAGUGAGGGACUAUUUGGACCAUAAACUGCAGAAAUCCAAAGAGGUCCACUUCCCUCCAAGGCGAAUUUGACCGAUAUCGAGAAAGAGCCUAAUACCACCUCCUCCUUGCUCAACUUUUUUGAAUCCCAAAUGAACAAAAUCCCACCAGAAGCCCCACACGCCAGGAGAAUAACCCAAUCCUUAUUUCUGACCGUCCAUACACUGCCCACUAGCCUUCUGUCGCACUUCUCCUUUUUUGUUUCCUGAAUCAUCACAACAUCCGGCUUCUCUAACCUAAGGAAAUCUUUAAUCACUCUUCGCUUAUUACUUGAACCCAAACCCCUAACAUUCCAACUGAUGAUUUUCAUGGAAAAACACGCAGGCCCUAACCCUCCAAACCAAAACCACCUGGAUUCAAACGCCUAUGGACCUCUAUUCUUCCUCCUAGAGUACACCUUAAUGUCCAGAGAGCAUAGGACCUCACGUACUUUAGCCAUUUUCCUAGGGGACAGGCCAUCUAUAAGAAAGUCUUCCGGCGGGGAUGCCUCAUUAACCCCCGGACUGCCUGGCAUCAGGUUAGAAGACUUCCCAGGGGUAGAACUCUCGGACAUCUGGUUAAAAACAGCUCUCUGAUUCUCCUCCUCAACAUGGACAGGGAUGCCAACAAAAUUUAAUGGGCCAACAUCGCCUAUUUUGGGAAAAAUUUUAAAUUUACCUUGAUUUACCGAAGGAGACUGGGAAAGAAUUUCUGAAUUUGGGAGAUGAGGACCGAAGGGACACGGAAGAUUCAAUGCCAGAUUACAGGAAGGAGAGGGAUGAGGCUCGGGUGGCUGAGAAGAAAAAGGCUGACUUACCUCCAAGCUUUCCACUCCCGGAACUUCACAAUUUCCUCCCAAAAUGAUGUCUUUACCUCUGGUUCUUGGAAUAGAAGGUGACACCGUGACUGAAGAGCUACCAGGAUCGUACCCCGCUCGGCCCGUAAAUCCUCCUUUGUCUUCUUUGAGUUAGGAUUUUCGCGAUUCCAUCACUCCUCUUGACGUCGAGACUUCCUCCUUCGACCAUCUGUUGCAAUUCCUUGGCAGAAGACAACGGAAGAUGGGACUCCCUCUGAUGCCUCGAGUCUGAUGAGAUCCCUCUUGAUGCAUUGUUGCGGGGGGAGGAAAACUAGAGAAGCUAUUUUCUUGCUUUUUUCUUCCUCUGAAGGGAAGAAAAACAUGGAUAAGAAUGGAUCCCUUGGCAGUUAUAACUUGACAAUAGCAGGUUUUCCAGGUUGUUAGGAGAUCUUGAGGGGCAAGAUCUUUAAGGUUUUAACAUAAGUUUUCUUGAAUGGGAUAGCUGCAUCAGUGCUAUCUUUAUCACUUUGAUCCUUGAGAAAGAUAGGUCCAUUAAUAUCUGAAUUGUAGAUCAAUUAGUUUUGUGACUAGCUUUUGUAAGAUCAUCGCUAAGAACUUCACUAGAAGACCUAGGGAGGUGCUCCAAGAUAAGGUAUCCCAUCCCCAAGUAGUGUUUGUCAAAGGAGACAGAUUUUGAAUGUGGUCCUAAUUCCUGAUGACAUGAGUGAAAGUGAGAGAUAUCUUCCCAAGAAUGCAUGAUGACCAAACUAGAAUUUGAAGAGGCCAAUGAUUAUGGGAACAAGUAUGAUAAAAAAUAAUAAUAAUUAUGGGAACCGAGCUUUUUGGAUUAUGCUUUGGUGAAGAAGGGCUUUGCAAGGUCAUUGGAAAAAGGAGAUCAGAGAAUGUUAGAGAUCAAGAAAUUUUGUAAUCCUUGAUUUUAAGCCUAGAAAGCGGUUCCAAGCAGCCAAAUGGUUUAGUCAAGGGCACCAUCUCACCCCUAUGAUUACCCACAUUAAUGAUUAAUGUGCAUAGCAUAUUGAUCUUGAGGAAUUAGGUGGUAGAGAUUAUUAAGACUUUCAAGUGAGACAGAAAAGAAGUUUCCCAUCUUCAUUUGCCGAUGAUACAAUUCUUUCCUCAAUUUUACCUAUCAAAAAAAUAUAAAAAAAUAAAACAAUUCUUUCCUUCUUCAUGGAAGGAGAAUAAGGAACCACAUACUUGUUAGAGGUUAUUGAAUUUAUAACACACUUUAGAAUUAAUAUAGCCAAGAGUGCACUUCUUGGCAGCUUAGGUAUUAUAAUUGUGGUAGGACGUCACUUGAACUCUUUUUUUAAAAAAAAAGUGAGAAUGUAUUAAUUUAAAAAGAAAAAGAACAAAGGAUGAGAUGCCUAUCAAGAAAACAUAACACACACACAGUCACACACACACACACACAAAGAGAAAGAAAGAGUUGUGCCUCAAAAACAAUCAAUGAGGAUAGCUUUUCCACAAUAUAUCUCAGGGAUCUAGCAUCCCUGUUGGCCAAACAGUCAACAACCUGGAUAGUUAAAGUAGGUAUCUAAAUAAAAGAAGGGAAAAUAUCCCUAGCAAGAGCAGAAUCCUACUCAUCUGAUAAACAAGCCCCCAUGAACCCUCCUCCAAGGUCAAGAUGCUCAUAACCAAGGAAUCUCCUUCCUCGGAGAAGGCUCAACACACUCGCAAGCAACCUUGUUUAAAUCUUCUCAAAGAUAAAAGCUGAGCAUGAACAAUGGAAUAAUAAAUCAACAUACCAAUGCCUCACUCACGCUCUUGUGCCAAAAAAGAAUCAAACCAACAAAAUCUUAUAUUUUAGACGUAUUACCUUAGUUACAAGUUUGUAUAAGAUUAUAGCUAAGGUUUUACCAGGACACUUAGUACAGUUCUCCAUGAAAUCAUUUAUAUAUCCCAAGGAGCCUCUAUUAAGGGAAAACAAAUUUUGGAUGAUAUUAUGAUUGCCAAAGAUAUGGUGGAUGAGAAAAGGCGAUCAAGGUAGGAAGGGGUAGAUUUCAAAAUAGAUUUUGAAAAGGCCUAUGAUCAUGUGGCAUGGGGUUUUUUGGAUCAUGUAUUAGAGAGAAUGGUUUAGCUCAAAAAGGAGUCUUGGAUGAGGGCUUGUUUAUCUUCAACAUGUUCUGCAAUCCUAGUAAAUGGAAUUGUCAAAGUUUGGGUUAAGGCAAUCCGAGGGUUAAGACAAGGAAAUCCUCUUUCCCCAUUCCUUUACCAUUGCAGUUGAUGUUCUAAGUAAGAUAAUGAUCAGAGCAAAGGAAAGCGAUUUAUCAAAAGGCUUUGUAGUAGGCAGGAAUAAGACUAAAGUGUCUCUUUGACAAUUUGUAGAUAACACCAUAUUUUCUCUAGAGCCUCUAUGGAAAAUCCACAAAACCUCAAGCUAAUCAUUUUGGUUUUUGGACAAAUAUCAAGGCUUUAAGAUCAAUUUAGAGAAGAAAACUCUCUUUAGUAUCAAUAUAAGUCAAGAUCUAGUAUCUAGGUUAGCCUUGAUGCUUGAUUGUGAAGUCUCAUAAUGGCCUUUAUCUUAUCUAGGUCUUUCACUAGGAUGGAAUCUGAAGGCAAGUGGAUUUUGGGAUCUGGUGGUUGAUAGAAUCUCAAGGACACUAGAUGGGAGGAAAAAACCUUUUUGUCUUUUGGAGGGGAGAAUAACUCAAAUUCAGUCAUGCUUGUUUUACAUCCUUAGCUAUUUCUUAUCUCUUUUCAAGAUCCUAACAUCAAUAACUUUAGAGAUUGAGAAAUGACAAAGGAAUUUUCUUUUGUCAAGAAAUAGAAAGGGUAAUAAAAAUCAUCUUAUCAGUUGGGACAUAAUGUGCCAAAGGAGUUUGAAGGUUUGGGGAUUGGGAAGACUUCGAUGAGUAAGCCUCCUCCCUUAGGGAAGUGGCUUUGGAGGUUUCCUAAGGAAACUUUUGUCCUUUGGCAUCAGGUUUUUUCAAGCAUAUAUGGGACACUUUAUAAUGAAUAAAUCACCAAUAUUCUGGUUAAAUGGUCACAUAGAUGUCCUUGGAAAGCCAUGGCACAAAUAUUCCAAGACUUCUCUUCACUCACUUUGUGGUGGAUGACAGGGCAAGAAUUCAUUUUUGGGAAGUUUGUGCUGGGGAAAUAAACCUUUGUGUCCACAAUUUUCAGGUCUUUAUAAAGUUAUCACAGUUGAAAACCUCAUCAUAUGAUUUAUCCUUGGUAACUCCUCUUCACUUUCUGGGAACCUUAACUUUCAUUGUAACCCCACUAAUUUGGAAAUUGAGAACCUUGAGAUACUCAUAUCCUCACUCACUCUUGUGCAAUUGUCUCCAUCAACUACAAAUACAAGAACUUGAUCAUCAUCCUCUUUAGUUUUACUCUUAGUAAAAUCAAUUUUCUUAGCCUUAUCCAAUUUAUCAAAUUCAACCCAUUUGCUCCAUCUAAAAUUUUUUGUAACUCAAAGGCCCUACUAAGAUCAAGGGUUUUGCUUUGUUAGUGGGGCACAAGAAGGUAAACAUCAAUGACAUGCUACAGUUGAAAAGAUCUUACAAAUUCCUUAGUCCUCAUUGGUGCAUCUUAUGCAUGGAAAGUGGAGAAUCGAUUGACCAUCUGUCUCUAUAUUGUCUAUUAACAUCAGGGCUUUGACACAAGUUAUUUAGUCUAGCCAAGAUGGAUUGGAUUCUACCCUAGAGAAUGUGACAUGAUGACCAUCUCAUUUAGAGGUUUGGGAGCUCUAUCAGAGGCAAGACCAUUUGGCAAAUUUCUUGUCUCACUAUGCCUUGGAUUAUGUGGUGACAAAGAAAUGCUAGGAUCUUUGAGGAAAAGUGGAGAAUGGAAGAGAUGUUGAGGAAUUUACUUCACUUUUAUCCCUCCUUAUGGGCCUCUUAUACUGACACCUUUAGAGGCAUUCUACUCAAUGUUAUUCAACUUUGUUGGCAUCUAGUUUAUAAAUCAAAUGGAUUGUAUAACAAUGAAAGGAGUUGAGUUCGAUUUUGAGAUGUUACCUUUGUUUAUCCUCAAGUGGACUAAAGCUUUGUGUAGAGUUCUCCUUGCAUAGUGAAGACGUUUAGGCAUACUUUAUAAUUUUCUUGUAUUUUUGGGGGAGCAUCCAUCAUCCUUCUCAUGUACUUUUUUUUUUCACAAUUAAUACAUCUUUUGUUUCUAAUAAAAAAAAUAAAAAAUAAAAUCCAAGCAUCAAUAGUCAUCCUAGAACUUGCCAAUUAGGAAAAAGCCCACAACAUCGAUGUGUGUCUCUUAAUAAUCUUUGUCCAUCUUCUUCCCUAAGAUUCUGGUUAACAUAAUGAAUAGGAUUAAAAAUAAGAAACUAUAAAAAUAAAAAAUAAAAAACUUGUGGUUUUGCGCAAAGAAUAAAAAAGACCAUUUAGGGUUUUUUUAAAAUAAAAAAGAACAAUUUCAUUGCAUUGAAAUAGUAAGUAUAGAAAAGGAUGAAGAAUCCUUCUAGGAAGUACAAAAUCCUCUAUACAACUAAGAAAAUCGAAGAGACCAACAACUUUCGGGUCAUAACAACCCUUCCAAAAGGGUUAGAGUUUGUCUCAAUUGCUAAAGCUUGACUUGCAAGUCAGCCACACUCCAACCCUUAGCUACCCUAGGUUACCUAAAGAGCACCCAUCAAAAUGUAACUUAACAAACCCAUUGGAGGUGGUAGUUAUUCAAAAAGAGUAUCUUUAGUCAACCUCAUGGUUUUGUAAACUUGGUUCGAAUCUAGCAAAAUGAGGCUCAAAGGGACAUCUGCAAAAGCUUUACUUGUAGAAGUUGAAGAAGAGAAGUAAAAAAAGAUCAUUUAGUUAAUUGGAGGAUGGUUUGUCAAGCAAGCUAAAGUAUUUUGGUUUUGUAAAGUGGCCUAAGAAAGGUUUCCCUUGUAGGAAAUGGCCAUGGAGGUUCCUAGAGAUCAAGACUCGCUUUAGCACUUAUGAUCAAAAGUAGGUAUUGUGUUAAAGUCAUAUUAAGAUGCUAAAGUAGAAAUUUAUAUCUCAAGGUUUGAUUUCCAUUUUUUUAUCACAUUGAAUACAUCAUUAGGGAUGAUCUAGUAUUCCUUUCUCAGAGGAUUUCUAGCGAAAGGAAGAGAAUUUAUUGUCAUCGAAAAAAAAAAGGAAAUGAAGUUGAAAUUGGCAGAGAUGCUUGGGUGAUUAAUCCCUCCGAAGGAAUGUUGACAAGGUAGGAUUAGUUCAAUCCUAGGUUUAGAAGGUGCUUUUUUUGUUGAGAGCUAGAUAUAUUACUGUCUUCCUUUAAGGUUCUCAACUCAUUACUGGUAGGCUUAGCAAAUAAGCUUGUUUGAAAAAAUGGUGCUUAGGGGCUCAAAAACAAACAUUCUAUUGCUAUGAAAUAAGUAAAUGCAAACAAGGAUGAGAAAAUUUUCCCUUAAAAACAACCACUACAUAACUAUCUAAUAAAAGCCAAGAAAAAAUAUCUACUCUAAAGAUCAAUGGAAACAAGUUGUUACAACUAUGAACUCAAAACUUAGGGGUACAAAAUCCUCUAUAAAGUGAUUGAUUGAUUGGCUUCCUCUUUUAUUAACAUAUUCACCACACGAUUAGCUACUUGAGGUAUUUAGAAGAAUGGACAUUCCACUCUAAAGCAAUAUAAAAAAUUUGGCAUAACCAACUUUCACCCCUCUACAAGCCUCUCCCUUCUUAUUUAACCAAGACAAAACCAUUGCAAAAUCUCUCUACUAGAAGAUCAAAUAGGCCAUCGGUUUUAGCUAAGCUUUAGGCCUUCAAAUAAGAUUUAAUAUUUAUGUCUCAAUGGCAAGACCUGCUCCAACAUUUUCAGAGAAUGUUGUCACCAAUGUUCCAUGAUGAGCCAUGAACUUCCCUCCAAUUCCUAUCUAUCUCGGGAUACCUAAGGAGUACCCAUCAAAGUUCAACUUCAAGCAACUCACUAAAAGGGGUAUCCAUGUGAAAAAUAUAUCCUCAACCAGCUAAGUAGAUUUGCAAACUAGGUUUUAGUCGCAAUAUAUGCUAAAAGGGUUGCCCACAAAUAUUAGGCUAGCCGACACCCAAAGAGUAGAAAUAGAUUAAAUGCUCUUGGUGCAUAUGUAUGGGGUGUGGAGAGUCGAUUGAUCAUAUUUUCCUACAUUGUCUGAUAACUCAAGGAUAAUGGCACAAGUUAUUCAGUAUAGCCAAGAUGGAUUGGGUUCCACCCAGGAGCAUUUGUGAUAUGUUGUCCAUCUCUUUUAAAGGAUUGGGAAGUUCAGGUAGAGGCAAGACCCUUUGUCAAAUCAUUGGUCUCACUUCGCAUUGAAUUGUGUGGUGGAAUGAGAAAUGCUAGGAUUUUUUAAGAAAAGCUGAGGACGGCAGAGACUUUGUGGGAUCUACGUUACUUUUAUUCCUCAUGGGCUUCUUGUACUACUACAUUUAAAGGCAUUCUCUCAAUGUUUUUCUUUUUUUUUAUGGGUGCAUUCUCUCAAUGUUAUUCAACUUAAUCGAUGUUUGGUUUGUAAUUCAAAAGGGGUGGACAAUAAUGAGAGGAGCUUUGUUCGGUCUUGUUUUAUAGCCAUAAUUGGACUAAUUUUUGUGUAGGUUUCCAUGUAUAACGGAGGAGUUUGAGUCAUAUUUUGAUCAAAUCUUGUAUUUAGUGGGGAGGAUCUCUCAUCCUUAUCUUGAUCUAUUUAUCAAUAUACAAUCUAUCUUUGUUUCUGAUAAAAAAAUUAUACAUAUACAAAUAAAAAAUAAAAAAUCUUCCAAAGUACACCAUUUGUCCAAAAAAACUCUUGCAUUCUCUCAUGUCCUAUAGUCUAAAUUAAUGUGAGAUUAGCAAUAUGCCACAAUGACUCCCCUCUCAAAAGACCUCCAAAAAUCCAAUAAAAAAUAGUUAACAUCUCCACCACACUCUGAGGUGGAGCCAAGUCAAUCCUAGCAAGUCCAAACAACUUAUGCCAUAAUAUUAAUGCUAUAGGGCAGUUAAAAAAAAAAUGAUCCACUGCUUUCCCAAUCUUCUUACACAACACACCAUUCAAACCUAAGAGCUUUGUGAAGUCUCUUCAUCUAUCAUAAUGCUUCCUUUGUUAAAUCUUUUUACAAAUCCCAAAUUGUGGGUGACCAUUAUACUCUCUUACUAAAGAGAUUUGGGCCUCCAAAGCAUCAUCUAAGGUAGGUGAUGUAGGACAACCCUAGGAUGGUUGCCUACACUCAAGGGUAGGUGGAGUAGGGUUUUAUUUUUUAUGGUGUAAGGAGAGGAAUAAGGAAUAAAUUUUAUGGUAGAGAAAAUUAUAAGAUAAGAAAUAGAGAGAAAGAAGAAACAAUGAAGAAAAGAUGGAAAACCUUAGAGUCUCAUUAAGGCCUUCUAGGAGUCUCAUCUAGAAGAAAAUCAAUGGAGUCUCACCAUUGAGGGUUGCAACCUUGCAAUGAAAGAAAAUAUAAUAUUAUUAAUAUCAAUUCAUCUCUUUGAUUUACAUUGAUUAGCUUAUUCAUAAGCUUCUCUAAGAAAUCCAAAGUCUACUAGGACUCUAAUAACCUAUUAUGAUUCUAAUUCUAAUUAUAACAUCCAAAGUCUACUAGGACUCUAAUAACCUAUCAUGACUCAAAUUCUAAUUAUAUUAUAACUUUACUAGCUAAUCCUAAUUAGACUCCAACAAAUAUCAAUCCUACUUCAAUUCUAAAUAAUAUUAAUCCUACUUAAAGUUUACUUAGGUCUUCCCUUUCCUCCUUGAAUAAACUUUAAAAGGUUUUCCCCCAUCAAUAGGUUUCUUUGUCUGGAAGGCAACAUGGGAAAAAACACCUACAACUAUUGUUCAAUUAUGAGGAGAGAGUGGAAUAUGAUCAAUUAUUGUUGCCUAUGCAAGUAAGAUGUGGAGUGGGGAGAUCAUAUUAUCUUGUUCAUUGUAGAGGAGCCUCUAGUUUGAGGACCUCGGUCUUCUCUUUGUUUAAAGCGUCCCAAGUCCUCCCCUAGUUGGUUAAAGAUGCCUUGCUUACUUAGCAUAGUAGCUUUGAGGGUAGUAAUUGUAAGAAGGUGUGAAGCACAAUUCCUUUAUGUCUCUUUUGGCUUUUAGGGGAGAAUGUAACAAAAGAUUUCUCAAAGAAGUAAAAUGGGAAGAUUGGGCUAUGAAAGGGUUGUUUCUAAAUUCUUUACUUUUUUCGUCUAAAGGGGUGGUGAACAGCAAUAAUCAUUCCCCCUUAGAUUUCGUAGAUUGCUUAAUAGAUAUAAGCUAGAAGUGUGUUGUUUUUGCUUUCUUUUUGCUACAUCCUUUUACAUGUCUUGUAUGUUAUCCAUUUUUUUUAUAAUAAGUAAAACAAGUAUCGUAUUAAUGAAAAGGUAUACACGACGUAUACAUAUACAAAAAACCAAUAAAGGUGACAAUACAACCGCACCCCACGAGGAACCUAACCAAUCCACAAAAUCUAUCAAAGAAGUAAUGUUAUCCCCAUGUAUACUCUAACCCAAUCCCAAAAUAAAUACAAAAAAAAACUUUUAAAAGUUUGAUCUAAGCAUUCCUUAUCCUCAAAAUCUCUCCUAUUUUGUUCCCUCCAAAUGGACCAAAAAAUGCAUAGAAGAGCAACUUUCCAAGCCUUUUUCCUUUUUUUGCCAACCGGGACACCAUUCCAACUUAGAAGCACCACCCUCACAGAAGAAUGCAUCACCCAUUGAAUAUGAAAAAAAGCACAAACCAGCUGUCACAAUGUACUUACUUUCGAACAAUGCAAAAGUAAAUGAUCUCCCGUUUCCUCUUUAGCCUUGCACAUGUAGCACCUAUUUGGCAUCCUCCAUCCCCUCCUUUUGAGUUGAUCCUGUGUCAAAUAGCCCAAGUUACCUCCCAAGAAAAAAAGCUAGCUCUAACAGGGGCCAAGAGUUCCACAUUGUACUGUGCUGAAAAGGCUCCACUCUCCUACUUGCCAAAGAAGAGUAAAAGGACCGAACUGAAAAAACACCCUCCUUAGUCUCCAACCAAACCAUGGCAUCAAAAGUACCCAAAACGAUGGAGUAGUUAUGCAACCUCCCGAAUAAGGCAUCUACCUCCUCUAACUCCCAAUCUUUGAAUUGUCUAAUAAACCUCAGUCCCCAACUACCCCCAUCCCAAACAUCUAUCACCCAAGCAUCCUUAAAGGAAGCUAUAGCAUAAAGACUCGGAAACUCAUCCCUCAAUGACAAAUCACCACACCAUUUAUCUUUCAAGAAUUUUACCCGAUUCCCCGAACCAACCUAAAGCCUUGUUUUAUCUUUGAAGGUCUCCCAACCAUUUCUAAUUGCCUUCCAUAUUCCUACACCAUACCUCCCUCUCACCUCCUCUGUGCACCACUCCCCCUCCUGAAUCUUAUAGUUACCAACAAUUACCUGUUUCCAAAGAGAGUUCCUUUACUUCACAAAUCUCCAAGACCAUUUACCCAAAAGUGCCUUAUUGAAGAGAGGAAGGCUUCUAAAACCCAAAUCCCCAUUUUGCUUCUCCAAACACACAAUCGACCAAUUAACCAAAUGAGGCUUUUUCUCCAACUCCCCUCCUCCCACAAAAAAUCACUUUGAAUUUUUUCCAAUCUAGCUGCCACUCUUUUAGGGAUAACAAAUAAAGACAUAAAGCAAAUGGGCAAACUAGAUAAAGCACUCUUAAUGAACGUCCACCUUCCACCUUUUGAUAGAUAUUGUUUCUUCCACAAAGUAAGCCUUUUUUGAAACCGUUCCUCCACACCUUCCCAUAUCCUACUAGAAUUGUAAGGAGCACCCAAGGGUAGGCCUAAGUAAGUGGAUGGAAGAGAACCCAACUUACAACCUAAGACCUCAACAAACUCCUCCAAAUUUGGAACCUCCCCAAUGGAAAUCAAUUAACUUUUCUCCAAAUUAAUCUUAAGACCCAAGCAUGCCUCGAACCACAUAAAAACCCAGCUCAAGUACUCCAAGUUUUCCUUGUUUGCAUUACAAAAAAUGAGAGUAUCAUCUGCAAAGAACAAAUGGGAUAUCUCGAAACCCGCAUCAUUCCUCUCUUUAACCCGAAAACCCUCAAUAAACCACCACCCUUUGCCCUUGAGAUCAAACAAGAAAGGAUCUCCAUCACCAAAACAAACAAAUAAGGAGACAAAUGAGCUCCUUGUUUCAACCCUCUAGACCUACUGAAGAAACCAGAAGGAGAGUCGUUGAUCAAAACAAAGAAAUGGACCAUAGAAAUACACCAUCUAAUCCAACUCAACCACUUGGAGGCAAAACCCAUUUUAUCCAUCACCGCCAUAACACAAUUCCAAUUUACAUGAUCAUACGCCUUUUCUAUAUCCAGUUUGCAUAGCAAGCCUCUCAAGUUAGCUUUAAGUCUAGAAUCUAUGGUCUCAUUAGCUAUCAAAACCGCAUUUAAGAUUUGGCUACCCCCCACAAAAGCAUGUUGAAAAUCCAAGACCAAAGAACCCACCACCCUCUUGAGUCUAUUAGCUAGAACUUUGGUUAACAACUUGUACAAACCCCCAACAAAAAUCCUUUAACUCUUCAACCCCCCUUUUUUAGGCACCAAAACUACAAAAGUAGCAUUUAAACUUCUCUCAAAGCAACCCGACUCAUAGAAAUCACCAAAAAAAAACCCCAAGACCUCAUCUUUUAGAACAUCCAAGCAGUCCUACAAAUAUGUCAAAGUAAAACCAUCCGGACCAAGUGCUUUAUCUCCAUUCAAGCUAGACAAAGCAGAAAAAACCUCCUCUUCAAAAAACAAGAACCUCCAAGGCUACUGAAUCUGCGAGCAAUAGAGCAUUAAAAGCCAGCCCCUCUAUGCUCUACCUCCACUCUCCUAUCUCAAAGAGCAACAAUUGAAAAGAUCUUGCCACUCCCUCUUUAAUACUAUUCUCCCCCUCUAGACAAACACCAUUAACCCUUAACUUUUCCAAAAAAUUCCUCCUUCUAUGAGCAUUUGCCAUUUUGUAGAAAAAUUUAGUAUUUUUAUCCCCUUCUUUUAGUCAUAGCUCUCUUGAUUUCUACCUCCAUAAAAUCUCCUCCAACCUUGCCCAUUUUUUAAACCCAUCUACCGCUCUCCUUUUCUCCUCAAACUCCUCCACUGUGAGGGCUCUUUCUCUAUCCUUUGCAUCCCACUGACCUAACCUCUCCAAAGCCUCAAGUUUUUUGGUGGACACAUUCCCAAAAACCUCCCUCCACACUUUGAGAUCCUGCUUCAAACUUACCUUAAACGCCAAAAUAUGACUGUGAGACCCCUAGACGCUAUAUCCCUCCCACCAACACCUUAUGAGAUCUUUGAACCCUUCCUCCUUUAACCAAAUAUUUUCAAAUCUAAACAGAAAUUUUCCAUUUAUAAUCCCUCCCCUAUCCAACAAUAUUAGUGCAUGAUCAGAGACUGGAUUUGGCAGGAUUUUUUUAACCAAUCCACUAAACUGGUCUUCCCAAUCAUCAGAGACUAGAAAACGAUCCAACCUAGAAGUUGAGUUGUUGUUUAAACCACCACACCAUGUAUACUCGCCACCGGAAAGGGUAAGGUCUUUAAUGCCAAGCUCAUCGAUCACCUCUGAAAAACAUCUCAUUGUAACUAACAUUCUCAAACAGCCCCCUCUUUCUGCUAGAAAUCUCACCACAUUAAAAUCACCCCCCAAUACACCAAGGAUCCCUCCAAAGACCCCUAAUAGCACCUAACUUAGCCCAAAAAUCUUCCCUCUCCUCAAUGAGAAUAGGUCUAUAAACACCCGAAAACAUCCACACAAAACUACCCUCGCAAUUUGUGAAUCGACAUGACACUGAAAAGGCACCUACCUCCAUCUCAUGAAGCUCCAACACCCACUUAUCCCAAAAUACCGCAAUUCCCCUUGCUUGACCUCUAGCAUCCAUUGCUCCCCAAUCCAAACAUCUACCCACACCCAGGCUCCCCACCAUUCUGGUUGUUAUUUGUUGAACCUUUGUUUCUUGAAGACAUACAAGAUUGGCGGAGUAUAAGCGAAUCAAAGAUUUAAUCAUACUACGCUUAUUCCCCACAUUAAUACCUCUACAUUCCAUGAAAUAAUCCAAAGCUUCAUUGACUCACCCUGACUAAAUCCCAAAAAAUUAUCCCCCCUCCUCUCCCACACCUCAAAUCGAUCUUGUAACUGACUAAACAUUCCAAUUGCCGAAGCUCCCUCUCCAACUUUGAACCACUCACCUAAGCCUUUUUGGUCCCCUGCCUUACUGUCUUCCUUUUUAUUCCUAGUUCCAAUUUUUCCGAGAAGCCUAAAAUUUCCUCUUCAUAACCAUCCAUUGGAAGCCCCAAAACUUUGCUAAAAACCACUAAUCUGCUAAAAUUUCCUUGGAAGGCACUUCCCUCCCCUAUAACAUAAGCCUCUUCCACCUCCCCAUUCGAAAGUCUUGAUUCCACCACUACGCAGUUUGAUUGAAGAUUUACCCUCGACUCAUCCUUCAAGACCAUGGAAAGGGGGCCAGUUCUCACAUCUUCUACCAUUGGCGAAAGAUCUCCCUAGAAAAUCAUCCCUACAUCAUGACGAGCCUCCCCGACAACCCCAUAGAAAAAAGGAGUAGAAGAGAGAGAAAAUGUCGAACCCAUCACUGGGCCAAAACCCCUCAACAAAAGGUCGAACAGCCUCACUUAUGGGCUCCUUAAACCAAGAUGGGCUUGCUUUUACAUCCAUAGGCCUCUGUAAAGCUGCUCCAGCUACAAAUGUUUGACCUUCCUCCCACACAGCACCUACAAACUCCUGCUCCUACACCUCCUACUACAGCCUUCCCUCAAAAGAUACUAAAAAGGUUGCCUCUUCUACAAGCCUCAUCUUACCAGGAAGCGACACCUUUUCUGCUAGGUUUGACCCCGCAAGCCCCAUGCGACUUGUCGCUCGUGUAUCACUACUCUUCUUUUCCCCCUCCUCUUAACUCUCAGCACGGGGAACCACCGAAGCUACCCAAGGAGGUAUCUCCCACCACAAAUUCACUAAAAAACAUAGUUCUUCUAUCACAAGCUUAAAACUCCCCGGUACCUUGUUUCCAUUUGUUUUUAUUAAAACUCAUGCCCAUUGUAAAUUUCUACCCCUCGCUGUCUCCUUGUCCACCCCCACAUAACCCCCACAUGCAUCACCCACUAGCUUAAAGAAAUCCCUAUGCCAUAGGCAAAGCGGGAGCCCUACAAUCCUCACCUAGUAGGAAUUUGUUUGAGCUCUNNNNNNNNNNNNNNNNNNNNNNNNNNNNNNNNNNNNNNNNNNNNNNNNNNNNNNNNNNNNNNNNNNNNNNNNNNNNNNNNNNNNNNNNNNNNNNNNNNNCCUCCCUUGCGCAACUUGAAUUCAAACAGAAUCCAUGACCCUCCCAAAAGAAGUAACGAUAGAUUCCCUUUCAACCUCCAAUGGUACUUAGCCCAAUCCUCCAAAGAAGAUAUCAACGGACCCUCCUCCAUGUGUUCCCCCCAUUUUCCCACCAAGCAACGAUUAAGAUACUGCAUUUUGUUAAACAAGUUAACUCCUCCAAACUACAACCACACCUCUCCCCUUUCACUCCCUUGUUCAGGCAAGGGAUAAGCCCCCAUAGGCCCUUGACUCUACCCAUCUUUCACCUUAAAUGCCUCAAUCCUACUUUCUCGAUGUUCUACUAAGUAGGCCCUCAACUUUUGAGCAAGAACAAACCACCCUCUUGGAAAUCCCUUCCCCUCCGGAAAAAUCAACACAAACCGGUUCGCCUCCACUGAGAAUAUCAAACACAACAGGUAUCUUCCCGCCUCAUUGUUGCACAAUUGGAGCUUAUAGCUCCUUCCUCCUUCUACCUUAGAGUUUUUGAACUCCUUCGAACUCUCCUUCUGGCAACAGUCUUCCACUCCUUCUAAGAGUAAGGACAGACCCCUCUCUCCAAAUCUAAUCCAAGCAAAGAAAUUUCGACCCCUCUCUGUAAUUACCCCAAACAACUUCCCUUUGGACAGUUCCACCAAAAUCUCAAAGGACUUGGACUCAACCCCAAACCAUGCCCUUCCUCCGACCUUCAUCCUCCUCACUCUAAAACUCUCUAUGUCUUGUAUGUUAUCCAUGUACAAGAGCCACACCCCUUUUUUUAGUUAGGCACUUUCUAAUAUAUUUUCUAUUAUCUAUCUAUUAAAAAAUGUGAUGUAAGCAAGGGGAUGAUCAAGACCAACACUAUUCUCCUCACCAAAAUCCUUCCAAAAACAAAUUUCAAAUUAUUCCCAACAAAACAUCUAGUAUGAUAAGAAAAAAAGGUCAAAACUUGAUAAAUAACCAAUUAAAAUCCUAAAAUUUGAGUACCUCAUAUUGAUCACUGCGUACCAAAGGAACCUCCUCUAACACUAUUUCCUACUAGGAAAAUGUUCCUUCAAAUAACCUAUUCUCUGUCCAACCUAUUCAAGUUUAGAAUUAUAGGUCAUCUCCUAAUUGACUAAAUGAUUUAUUAUGUUCUACUUUUUUCAAUCCAAUUUACCUCAACUAGAAUCAUAACAAAGAAAGAUUAAAAAGACACACAUGGAUUAAAGUUGUCUUAUCAAGCAAAAAAAAAGGAAAAAAUGGGAAAAGAAAAAAACCUAAGCCUUAUUCCAUGCUAACCAAUUCCUUACCAACUCUCCACUGCUUGAUCAUAAAAUUCUUAAGCUCAAACUAAGGUGUUGUUUAGAACAGUUUUCCUCUUUUGGCUUUACCCAAAAGUUAAAAAUAAAGCUGAAGCUAUAAUUUUUAAGGGACAAUUGUGUUAUUACGAAACUUCACUUAACAUAAAAUAGCUUCCCUCAUAAACUAGAAAGGAUCUUCUAUGAGAAGCAAUAUUGCCCUUACAAUCCUAUUAAGUUCUUUUUAAAGCUUGAAACACUUCCAUUACAAUCACUUGAACACAUAAAAGAGCUCUUAUUAUGCUUAAGAUAGACAUCUUAGCUGCCAAGAAGCCAAUCCAAACAGGGACUAAGCUUUGUUCCAUCUAAACAAACACUUACCAACUCUCUACUACUACUUGAUUCCAAAAUGUUUUAAGGGCCUUGAAGUGUCUCCAAGUGGAAGCUAAGGAACUUUGGUGAUGUUCACCCUUUUUGCAUCCCAAAGAAUUAGCCUUAGACUAAAGAGAGGGAGAUGUUCAGGUUUUUUUCUAAAAUCAGUAGUUUUAGAUGGCUAUUGAUACUAAGCUUUUAAGCUCUCUGGUAAGGCUUAAUAUGUCUACUAGUUUUGGUGUUCCAGACCUUUUUGUGGAAGGAGGUAAGGGAAUUCUUAUGAUCAUGUGCGCCUCAAAAGUUUCUUGGAGGUUAAGCUUAUUGGAUUAGUAGACAUUGCUCCUGCUGGAGAAUUCCUCUUUGUUCCCUCUUCUUGUGAUUAAUAUAAACUUUGGCUCUUAUCUAACAAGAAAAGGUCAGAGAGAAAAAGGAAAAAAAGACAAACAAAGAAAAUAACAAUAAGUGACAGUCUGGCCCAUGCUUGUAGAAGGUUUAUCCAACUAAAAAGAAGAAGGCUAAUUGAGCACUCUUAACCCCAUUACUGCUAACUCUAACCAGUCCAUAAUUUCAGGUAUGUCAGUUCAACUUGAGUUUCCAGCCUUUUUUAUGUAUACAAUUUGAUGAACAAUUGGUAAUGUACAAUUUCACAAAAUCGCCAAUUGCAGCAUUGUAUCUUUCCUCCCUUAUCAGUUUAGUUCGUUCCAAGAGCCAAAACUAGACUAAAAUGCAAUCAUGAAUGUACUUAACAAAAAAAAAAUUCCCUGAUAUUCUCUCUUUUUUUUUUAAUAGGCAAUACGAAAAUAAACUUACAGGAUUCAUCAAAAGCUCUUCUUUGAAAUGCUUGUAUUGGGACCUCUUUUUAGCCAAUUCUGAAGACCAAUGUCCACGAUCAGUCGGUAAAUACCCCAGCAAGAGCUGCCACAAUCAAUAAAUCAAAACUUCAACCUCAUAAUCUAAUUAAUUGCUACAUAUUUCUUCUCUUACCGAAAUAAACUGAAUAAAUUUAAGCAUCAAAAUCAAGUCACGUAAACAAUAAAAAAUUUGUUUGGUUUAGUAAAUGAAAAACCUAAUUAGUUCAGGAAACGAGAAUUUUCAUCUUAUCGAAAUUGAAACAGAAUUAAACAUAAAACUCAAAUUUUCAGUUCCUUAAAUCCACAGAAACGAAACAAAGCAUAAGCAGAAAUCAGUACCUUCCACACCGUAGAACGAAUCCCAGCGCCAUCAGGAAUACCCUGCGACGCAAGCCUCCGCAGUUCCCGCACAUUUAUCACCUUCUUUGAUAACUAAAUCCAAUCAUACCAAUACGAAAAAAAAUCGAAUAACCUAUUACUAAAGGAAAAAAAAUCAAACAAAUCCAAUUCCCAUACAUAGCUAGAUAGAAACCCUAACCUCCGCCAAGAGCUGAGCCUGGCGAGAAAUGUCCUCGGCUGAGUCGUCGGAGGAUGCGUCAUGGACAUUGUUUACGGAUUCCUUGGGCUCCGGUUUUGGGGGCUCUUCUUGGACGACGGCAGGAGGGGGCUCGGGGACCGGCGGAGCGACCGGAGAAGGAGGCGUAGGGGUGGAGGGCUUGGAAUCGUAGCGCUGGAGGCGGUCAUCUUCGGUGGCAGAGGGAGAAGCGGACCAGAGAGAACUGUUGAGCCAGUCUGGCACCCUCUUCUUCACCAUGGCCAAAUGGAAUGAAGAUCGGUUUCACCAGAAAUGCGUACAGUCAAUGUCGCUCUACACAAUUUCUCUUUUUCCACCCCGAAACUGUUUGCCCUGGGAACACGAAGACAGGUGGUGGUGCUGAGGAUGUUCGCGUCCCCUGCCGGUCAGGGAGGGAUUGUAAAGGAACAAUUCAUAACGACACCUCGCGUCUCUUCAUUGGGGCUUUCCUGGGCCUAGUCUCAGUCCUAUUAGUAUUGAUUUUAGAAAAUAAUUUAUAACUUAAAAAGCGUUUAAAAAAAAAGUUAGAUAUUCAAUCAAAAUUUAGGAAAUAGUUUUAAAAAGUUAAAAAUUCUCUUUAUAUUGCUUUUUAGGAAAGUACUUGAUAGAUAAUUCUUUUAAAAAAUAUUUUUACAAAAUAAUAUUUAACUUUAAUUAAAAGCAUUCCCCACGCAGUCCAUUUAAUAGUGCUUCUAAAAAAUAUUUCUUGUAAUGUCUCACAUCGGAUAAGGGAAAAAGUUUCUAAUACUAUAUAAAUAUGGACUCUAUUUAAUCAUGUAAACGUAUUUUAAAGUUGUGAGAAAUUCUUCAUGUCAAAAACGGAUAAUAUCUACACAGUUGAGUGUGAUCAUUACAAAUUUUAUCAAAGUUAUCAUCGACCUUGGUGUUAAGGUUUGUUUUGCCCUAUAAUCUCAUAGGGCAAUAUCUUUACAUGAGGAGUGUUUAUAAUGUCUCAUAUUAGAUAGGAAAAAAAGUUUUUAGAUGCUAUAUAAAUAUGAGUUCCUCUUAACCAUGUAGACAUGCUUUUAAAACUGUGAAGACCUCUUUGAGCUAAUGUAAAAAGUGUUUAUAAAAAAAUUCAAUGUUUAGUGAAAUUUUAAAAAAGUUGAAAAAUCGUUCAUAAUGUUUUAUGGAAAAACAUUUUAUAAGUGAUUUUUCACAAAAAUAGUUUUUAAACAAAACACUUUCACUAAAAACACUUCAAAUAAAAAUAUUAUUAAACAUAUUCUAAAUUCCAAUUGAAUGUCAUCGGUCUCAUGGGACAAACUUACUUGUUUCCUUUUUUUAUUAUUAUUGGUAACUAUUUUUUAGAAUAAUUUUAUAUUCUCUAGACCAAAAAAAGACAUAUUUGACAAUCAUAAAAUAUGGUAUUUUUAGAAAAUAAAUUUUAAUUGUUUUAAUUUGUUUUCACUUACUUUUUAGGGGUCAUUUUAAAAAAUAAUUAUACAUGUUUAAAACCAAAAUAUUAAAGAUAAAUAUUGUUUCUAAAAGUAUUAAAAACAUUACGGGUUUUUAAAUAAACUUUUAUUAUAUAAAAAACUAUUUUUGAAAAUAGAUACCAAAUAGACUAUAUUUUGAUAUUUAAUUAAAAAUUUAUUAAAAGAACCUUGUAUUUAAAUGAAAGUAAAAUUAUGUAACAUAAUGAAAGCAUAUUUGAAUUAGCAUUUCAUUUGUGAAAGUGGCUUAGGCAACACUUAACAGCUUUUAUUUGGACACGACAAGCAAUCAUUUUCUUGAAGGAAGGAGCUUUUACCAGAAGUCAAGUGCCAUGUGCUUUCCAGAAAACGUAAUAUAAAAUAUUACUAAAAAUAUUUGAAAUCCUAAUCAGUUCUAACCUCAAACUUCUUGAAAGCUUCUAAUAGAAGUUCCAACCCCACUUUCAUAACAUAAUUCACUUUCGAUCCACGUCUUUGCAUGAUUUUUCCUUCUUCUUCUCUUAUCAUUUUAUCAUAAUUGUAAGAAUUCAAAUUUAAAAUUGGUCUAUGAGAAAACCAAGUUCAAACUACUUAAAAGGCUUAAUUGGUAACUAUUUUUUAAAAUAAUUUUCUAUUAUUCAAAACAAAAAAUCCGUUGGAAACAGAUUUGACAACCAAAAACUUUUUCUAUUCUUAAGAAAAUUUGGUAUUUUUAAAUAAUAUUAAUUAGUUAUUUUUUUUGUUUUCAUUUAUUUUUUUAGGACAACUUUAAGAAAUAGUUAUACAAACAUAUAAAAUGGUUAAAAAUAAAGUACUACAUAUAAAAAUUAUUUGAAAAAUAUAUUUAAAAAUAUUAAUCAUUGGUUAAAAACAUUUUAAUUUUCCAAACAAGCUUUUGUUCUACAAAAAUCAAUGAAUAGUUUUUAAAAACUAUUUUCAAAAAUUAUUUUUCAUAAUUAUUUUUGAAAAUAAUUAUCAAACAGACCCUUAAUAUCAAUUUUUGUAUUUAUGUCAUUUUUUCCCUUAGUUUUGCUUAAUUUUCUUGUCUUUAUAUCAAUUUUUUUUUUUUUUGAGGUUAUGUUUAAUUCCCAAAGAAAAUUUGAAGAAAAAUGUAAGAAAAAAAUAAAUAAAGAGAAAAAGUAAAAAGAAAAAGAAAAUCAAAAAAAUAAAAAUACAUUUAAAAUUAAUAAAUUAUUUUUAUACACGGUAUCAAACUCAUUUGACUUAUCUUUUCCUUUUUAUGUAAAGAUUAAAUAAUUUAAGAAUAUAUUAAUUUUUAGCUAAUUUUAAUUAUAUUUCAUUUUUCUUUCGAAUUUUUCAUGAUGGAACCAAAUAUGAAAAGAUAAUUUUCCUAAGCAUUUUUUUCUUUUCAUUAUUACUCUCCUAGAACCAAACAUAACUUAAAAUUAUUUGAUACAAUGCGUAGCAACGAAGGCUACUGUGUGACUCGAAGAUAUUGGAUCUCUUAAUCGGAGCUUUCCUAGUCUAAUCUAGAUCUUGUUUGGAUGUCAUGAGUAUAGAACGAGCAUCCUUCUUUGAUUUUUACUCAAUUUUUUUAAUUAAUUGAAUGAAUAAUAAAAAUUAUACUAUCUUACUUUCUUAUAUUUAAUCCCUAGGUCUUAUACUUAAGCUUCAUAUUUAACUUUAUAUAUGUUUAUUUUAUUGUUUUAUAAAAAUUUAUAUACUUACAAAAACUUUUUGAGUCCCCCAUUAGACAAGUCAAAAGAGACAAUUGGAAUAAGUGUUUGUUUGGAUGCAACAAACAAAAUCAUUUUUUUUAUUUGAUCAAAAAUGUGGUUUUGUACGAAAUAAGGUGUCAUAUGCUUUGGACAAAACUUAACAUGAAAUAUUGUAAAGAAGUUUUGAAAAUCCUUAACCCAUCAUAGGCUUCUAAUGGAAGUUCUAUAUCAAAUUUUGUCAUAUUUUACUCAUAUAUUCAAAUAAAAUAAGAACAUGUGUUACAUGAGUCACACACGAAGAAUGGUGAUCUAAGCAAUAAAUUAAUAAAUUUUGAUAAUUAAAAAAUAAUUAUCAAAUAAUUAAUUUUGGGUAGUUACUAAAUUGAGAUAUAAUAUCAUGCUCCUUAAGGAAAGAAUCGAACUAAGUAGACAUGUACUACCACCUCGAUCAUAUCGAAAUAUUUUUAUAAGUUCACUUAAUCGCCUCAAUUGUUUGGUAGAAACCUUUUUACGGCUUUUAAAUUAAAAAAAAAACCAUAAAUUUAUCUAAAAAUAGUGUAUGCAAAAAUAUAACAAAAUAUAUUUAAAUCAAUAGUUAAAUUUAGUGUAAUUUUAAAAUUAUUUUUAGAUAAUAAAAUUAUUGUAUUAAUAAAAAUAUCGCAUAUGACAACAUGCGAUGAUAUAUAUUAUUUUAUGUAAUUCAAAAUUUUCCUACGACGAAAAAACAUGUGUUACAAGAAAAUUGACAUAUAAAAUAAAAUGUGUUAAUUAUACAACUAAGCCAUACAUUUCACAUAUAUUCAAAUAAAACAAUUAUGUGAUCAAGAUUUUCAAAAAUGUCUUUAGAAAAUUUAAUCAUAAAUCAAAUACAUACUUUAUACAUAUUUGUAUAAGUUUUCAUACAUUUCAAAUAUAUCAAAACAAAAUGUCGACUUCUCAUCAAGUAUGAUACUAAAAUAUGCAUACUAGAAUUAAAAAUGUUUUCUCACAUUCAUGUCAUAAAAUGAAAAUGAUGUCAUUCUAUUAAUCUCAAAUCUCCAAAAAAUUUAAAACACGUUAACUUAGAUAUUGGUGUACAAAAAUCUUAUAAAUGUAAGAUAUAUUGUCUAAGAUAUACCACAUAUUCUCUAUAUUACAAUAUUCAAAAUAAAAUCUUUCUAUUCUUCAAAAUUCAAAUAAAAAAAAACAAAUAUGUUAAUAUGUAUUUAAAAGAAAUUAAAUUUCAAAAUCUCUUUGUAUAAAUAUAAUGUAUGUAUUCAUAUGCUUGAUAAACUAGAUACAUAAAAUGGAAAAUCAAAUCAUAACCUAAUUAUAUAUUAAUUCUUGAAUCAUCGUCAUGCAGUUGGUUAAUCAUUAAGUAAUCAUAUUCAAAAAAAUAACUUGAAUCCAAUCAUUUAUAAGAUAAUCUCAUGGAAAUGAAAACGAAAAACUAAGGGCUUGUUUGAAAACUAUUUUUAAAAGUAGUUUUUUGUUUUCUAAAACAAAAAAAAAAAAUAAGAAAACACUUUUAACAACCAAAAACUAUUAUUUAUUUAUUUUUUAUUUUUUAAGAAUAUAAAAUAAAGUGUUUUCAAAUAAUAUAUUUUAGUUGUUUUAUGUUAUUUUUACUUGUUUUAUGAGGAUUAUAUUAAAAAAUAAUUAUACAAACAUAUAUAAUGAUUAAAAAUAAAGCACCGGAUAUAAAAAUUAUUUUUAAAACAUGUUUAAAAAUAUUAGAAAUAAGUUUAAAAUAUUUUAGGUUUCUAAACAAACUUUUAUUUUACAAAAUAUCAUAAACAGUUUUCAAAAACUAUUUUCAAAACCUAUUUUUCAAAACUAUUUUAAAAAACAAUUACCAAACAUGACCUAAUUUUCUCAUAUAAUUUCCAUAUUUCCAACACAAUUUUUAGUGUUAAAUUUUCAAUACAUAAACCCAAACUUUUUUUUUGGUAUAAGAGGAGUUUUUAUACAUAAUUCUUAAAAUAUUUAGAAAUUGAAAUUGUAUACAAACAAAUAAUAAAUAUAUUAUCCAGAAUUUAUAAAAUAUAAGUAUAUGAUAUCCAGGAAUUUCAACUUUCUAUAUAAAUAACAAAUAUAUUUUAUUAUUAUAUUUUACUGUAAGUAUUAGAAAACAAAAAUUUAAAUUAAUCUCAACUGUUAUUUAAUAUGGAAAGAUUAUUGUAUAUUAAACAAUUAUAAUAUAAAAUUUUCAAAACAAGAAUUCCAAGUUACAUAAUUAGGACAAAAUGUAAAAAUAAUAGUUGUAUAGCUUCAAGUUAUAAAAUAUUUUGCUUAUAACUUCUAAUUAUAUGAAUGUCGUAGUACCCUGUACACAAUGGUUAGUUAACAAUUUUGUUUUGUCUAACUUUUGGCUAUAAGAAAAUAUAUAUUAACAACUUUGAUAUAUCCUUUUGAUAAUACAAAAAAUAUUAAUUUUCUUAUCUUCAUAUCUUCUAAUUAGCUUUUAGGUACGUAUGAUAUAAAUUUAUAAUAAAAGACUUUCAAUAUAACUUUUGGUUAUAUGAAUUUUAGCAUAUAUUAAUUUAUUAACUUUUUCUAUAUAGUUUCAAGAUAUGAAUAAUUAAAAUUUAAAUUAUGUUGUAAACAUAACAUAAUUGACAAAUUGUGACAAUUAUAAAAAAAAUAACAAUUAUAUCGUGUUAUAACUUUUGAUUAUAUAACUAUGGACCCAGCAUUUCGGCUCAUGCGUUUCCCACUCGAUGGCGAGCUCGAUUUUUGGUUAGAAAAAUGAUUUUUAUUGAUUAAGAAAAAUGACUUGGAGUCGCCACUUAUUUUUGUUUUAUUUUUAAAGGGUAAACAAAAUAAGAAAGAAAAACCUUAAGUGUGACUCCUUGUUUUGGAAAAGGUUGGUCUACGAAAAACCAGAUCGGGUUCGGGGGUCAGGUUACUUAUCAGGAAGGUACGACAAAGACCGUAGCACCCCUCUAAGUCCAUAAAGUCGGGUCUCUACUAAUAAAAUGAAGCAAUUAUGGCAAUUGAUGAGGGAAACAAUGAAUACUCAGAGUGAUCAUGCACACGUGAGAAUCUAAACAUGCAUACAAGAAAUGACUAAAGCAGAUGUGGAUGCGUACCUGGGCAGUGAUCCAUAAAGCGCUAUCAAGAAGUGAGGUUAGUGCACAAUUGAGGAAUAAUUUCGAGUAUGUCAUAGAGCAGAGUAAAAUAAAUCACGCAUGGCAAUUAAAUCAAACAAAUGAUCAAUCAAUCAUAAGGAAAACACAUAUGUUGGGCCCCCACCAAAGCCCAUUUAUUUUGCACGAAUUAAUCUCACAAAUUCCAUUAUUCUGAAAUUAUGAAAAUGAUAUUCAUGCUUAUUAAAAUCUAGAGGAGCGGAAGAUUGCGGGCGAAAAUGGAUCCGGCGAAUCGCAAGUGCCUGACGAGCCAAGCUAUCCGGGGAAGUUGAAUCACCCUCCUCUCCCAUCCGGCGUCAGGCGCCAGAUAUGAAAUAUCCGGAGAAGGUGGAAUGUCGACGGACAAAAUUCCGGAUGUGAGACAUUCGAAGAAGGUGGAAUGGCGGCGAAUAGAAUUCUGGAUGUGAGACAUUCAGAGAAGGGGGGACGUUGGCUGACAAAAUUCCGGAUGUGAGACAUCCGGAAAAGGUGGAAUGACAGCGGAUAGAAUUCCGAAUGUGAGACAUCCAGAGAAGGGGAGACAUCGGCGGGACAGAAUUCCAGAUGUGAGGCAUCCGGAUAAGGUGGAAUGACAGCGGAUAGAAUUCCGAAUGUGAGACAUCUGGAGAAAGUGGAACGUCGGUGGACAGAUUUUUCGGAUGAAAUGACAUCUGGAGAAAGUGGGAUGUCGGCCGGACAGAAAUUCCGGAUGUGAGGUAUCCGGGGAAGGUGGAACGUCGGUAGAGAGAAUUUCGGAUGUGAGGCAUCCGGAGAAGGUGGAAUGUUAGUUGGACAGGAUUCCAAAUGUGAGGUAUCCGGAGAGGUGGAAUGUCGGCCGGACAGGAUUCCGGAUGCGAGACAUCCGGAGAAGGUAGAAUAUCGGCCGGAUAGAAUUCCGGAUGUGAGACAUCCGGAGAAGGUGGAAUGUCGGCCAGACAGGAUUCCGGAUGCGAGACAUCCGGAGAUGGUGGAAUAUCGACCGGAUAGAAUUCCGGAUGUGAGACAUCCAGAGAAGGGUGGGACGAUAAAUAAAUAAAUAAAUAAAGGAAAUGCAGGCACGACCCCACAAAUCAAAAGCAUGUGAUGAAUCUUCUCUCAAAAUUUUCCAGAACAGAGAGAAUGAGUAAGUAUACUCCAAGCAUCGAGGAUAACCCACAAACAAUCAAGAAACAGAGGAUAACAGUUUAAAAUAGUCGGUGUAAACAAGUUGAAAGCCAAGUUAGAAAUCAAGCACAACAUGGAGGCAAACGAACUCAGAUUCCAUAAGAACAUAAUAAAAUCUCCAAUGCUCGCAUCCAAACACCAAAAUAGAAUCUUAUCGAUAUCCAAAAACAAAAUAGAGAAGAUAAUGAACAGGGUCCAUACCUGAAAAGCUUCCUCGCAGAUGAAAGCUCACCUAACUUCGAGCCCUGUUUUUAUGACCCCUCCUGAAAGACGCCCAGAUCAAGACCUCUUUUCCAAAGGCUACUCUUCGAACUCUCCUCCCCUCCUCUCGUUCUCCCUCUCAGCCCUUUCUUUUCUCUCAGCCCUUUUUUCCCCUCAGCCCUUUCUUUUCUCUCAGCCCUUUCUUUCCCCUCAGCCCUUUCUUUCCCCUCCCUUUCUUGCUUUCUUCUUUUUCUCUCCCUUUCUUUCUUUCUUUGUUGUUCACUGGUCAGCAAGCAUGGCUUGCCCAACCACUCUCUGCUGCUGCUGCCCCUGCUACAGCUGGCAUCCAGCCCUCAGCUUCAUGGCUGCCCAUCCCAUCUGGUCGGGAUUCAUGGUCAGAGGGGGGGUCCCCCUCACACUUUUUAAGAAUAACCAAACUCCAUUCUAACAGCCCAAAAGCUCUUCUGAAUCCUCCAACAGGUGUCUCCACCCCAUUGCAUUUCCAACCCACUACCUGAUUCACUGACCACUCAACCAAGAAGCAGCAUCUGGCUCUUUAAGAGCCCUCCACUUGGCAAGAAGUGUGACCUGCAGCAAAUGAAAAAAAAAAGCCCCAUAUGGGGGUCUACAAUAACAUAAUUAAAAAUUGUCUCUAAAAUUUCUGACUAUAAAAUUAGUAGUUAACAAUUUUAUUUAUAGGAUUUUUGGUUAUACAAGAGAAUAAAAAAAAUGUGUGCAUAACUUCCUACUAUGAAGUGAUCAUCAAUAUUGAUUGUCUUUGUAACCUCUAGAUAUAAAAAAAUUUCUAUAUAACUUCUGGUUAUUAGAAAAUUAAAAUAUCAAUAAUUACAAACUUCUAACUUGAUUAUAUAAAAUAUAACUUACAUAACUUCUGGUUAUAAGAUAAAGUAAAUAAAAAUUAUAAUAAUAAAAAUAGAAUAUAAUGGCAUCACUUUUCAUAUAAAUUUUUGAAAUAAGAGUGUUAAAAGAAAAUGAGGUUGCAUACCUAUGAGAACUCUUAUAGAUGAAUUCUUUUUUUUUUUCUUUUCUAUCCAUAAUAUUGUGUUGAUAACAUGUUAUAAAAUAAACAUAAAGUUUAAAAGAGAAGAAGAGAACAGGAGAGAAUAAUUUAAUUCUUUAUUAAAUUAUAAACUUUAUUUAUAGAUUAAGGAUAAUACUAAUAUGGUAAUAGUACAAAUAUAGUAAUAAUUUGUCAUCCACCACCAUAAAUAUUUAUAACAAAAUUUAAUUUUGAAAAAAAUAAGAUAGAAACCAAUUAAGUUAUCUUAUUCCUUAACCUUUUAUUUCCAUAAGAAUUUGGAAAAAAAAAUCAUUAAAACAAUUGUAAAAUAUGACUUAAUAAUAAGUCUCAAAUUUACAAACAAAAUAUUUAUUUAUUUAUUUUUAAAACUAAUUUCUUACUUGAGUCAUUUGAGAAUUAUGGGUUUAAAUAAAUAGUAUUUCACAUGCCCAAAGAAUCAUAUACUAAAGUUAUGAACAUAAAUAAUUAAAUUUUGAGAAUUGUGAUAUUAAAUUAAAAAAUGAAAAUCUCAUGUUUAUGAGAAAAGUAUUUUAUUUGUUUUUUCAAACCACUGUUUUACUUGAAUCAUUUGAGAAUUAUGAUUUAAACUUAAAUAGUAGGUGACUACAUGCCCAAGAUUCAUAUCCUAAAAAUUAUGAAUUUUAAUUUUAAAUUCAAAUCAUCAAGUGUUUUGGAUAAUGAAAAUGUAAUUUUUUUUAAAUUGUUGAUUUUUUUUUUAUUGAAAUUGACUAAUUCAAAAAUCAUUAUUAUGUUUCUUACUAAACUAGUUUAUAUCUUUGAUCUCUACUCAACCAUGUUUGUACAUGACAAUUGUGUGGGAAAACACUAUGUAAGUGAAGGAGGAAGAAUAAGUAGAAUGAAAAGAUCUUAAAGUUUAAAUAAUCUAAAAUUAAGUUUAAAUAAUCUAAAAUUUAUGCUAACGCCCAUUAAAAAAAAAUGUAAAACCUAGUCAUGUUGAUAACAAGUCAUUAUUAUAGAGCUAACGAUACAAAUUUAUUUUCAUUUGCUGGUAUGAAGAAGAGUAUUGAGAGAGAGAGAGGUUUCACACCAAAAUGUACUUUUUUUUAUAGGUACCAACUAGACAUGAGAUUAUUUGUACUCUCGUUCAAUGACCUAAAUUUCAUCAUAUAUGUUCAACAAUCUGGAUUUGGAGCUUGGUAAGCACCACUUCGAUACCUUAGCAUUUUCCAUAUAAACAUAUAAACUUGUAUCAAGGGAAUGCAUGGAUGCUCCUAUAAUAAAUAGUUACAAAAGUCUUCUCAAUAACUUUUCUCCACUAGAUCUGUGCAGAUAAAACCUUGAAUUGAAAUCCCCAGAAUUCACAAAAUGAUGCAAAGAUUUUCAAAGUCCCCAAGAAAAUUCACAAAGCAUUUAGGUCCACAGCCACCAGUGACAAGGUCACUAAGCAUUAAGUUCAAAGGCAGGCCCCUACCUCUACCUCUCUUUUCCUGUCUUUUCUUUUCUUCCUUUUUCUUUCAGUUUCUGAGGUACACUAUUGUGAGUUAAAAUGGUGGGGGAAAACAAAUAUCCAGAUCAAUAAUUAUCAGGGGAUACACCAUCACUUCCAGCAGUAUACUUGAACUAGAGAACUCCAAAGAAAGGGUUCACUAUUGCAGAGUUGAGCUCAGACCCAGCUGAAUUCAGCACUGCCAUCUCAACCUUGUCCCUUGGGAGAAACAAGAACUCUCCACCUUCUAUCUUCUCAAACCCACACAGCUCCAGAAACUCAAUGCCUCCUUUAAGUCCACCUACUCUCUCCUGUUAACCACAAUAACCACAACUCAGCAAAUCAAAAAAUUCAAAAGAAAAUCAAGCAAAAAGACUAACAGUAGUUUCAUGAACACAUCAUACUGCCCAGGACAGUCCAGUGCUGAAAUAAAAUACAAAUGCCCAUCAUGCUGAUUGACCAUAAAGAAGAACACUGCCAAAGUGGCUAAGAUGCCAAAAGUGUUGUGUUGUAAAUGGUGAUGAUAAUAUUCAUCUUAGAAGACCCUUACCUGAAAAGACGGGUUAGUGAGUCUAAUUUUUCUGAAUUUCUCUUCAUCGGGAUUCUUGGCAACAUUCCCUAUAUAAGUUAAAAGAGUGUGGAAUGCUCUUUUCACUUUGGCAUCCUCAUCCUGGUCAUGCAGAAAGAAAACAAAAAUGAGGCUAUGGUAUAUAGGGUAGUCAACUCAAUGAAACAGUAGAAAGUUUAAGAGAUCAUACUGAACACUACCAGUUAGCAAGAAGUCAGAAAACAAAUGGUUUAUUUCUGGUAAUGUUGAAUGAGGCAAACAGAUGAAUUUAGAUUUUCAUAUAAUGACUUUCUAGCCAUUGCUUUUUAAUUUUUAGAUUGGAAAAUUUAAUUCCAGGAUAUAUAGAAAAGACAAGCAUAACAACACCUUUACAGAUUUCACAUUAAAAGACUCAGUACAAUUCUUUCAUUAGGUGUAUUGUGAAAACAGGUGCCCAUUCAUUGAGCAUCAAAUAUAAAAUCCCAGGGAAUUCAAUGACACGACUCUUUUGCAAAUCAUGAUAUCAAAUCUACUGUAGAAUACAAUCUAUAUUUAAAACAUAACACUAAAUCUCAUAAAGUUUUUUUUUCAUAAAUAUAAUGUUUAAUCUAAAUUAUAAGAUAAGAUUGAUGGCACGAUAUCAUUUAAACAUAUUGUCCAUUUUUUUCAGAUUCAGACCAGACUGGGUCAGAAUAGCUGAAGAUUUGGUUUGCUUAACCAAUGGUUUCCCUGUAGAGCAUUACAGUUAGAAUUUCCAAAGGAUAAUUCUUUUCACUGAAACCAUCUGAAUCAAUUUUCAUUAGAUAUACGGUAACAAUUGAAUUUACCUUGUGAUUUUGCUUGAGCGAUCGCAGGCACUCUCUCAUUUGCUCUACCUUUGUAACAGGCUUAACAGGCAAAAAGGUCUGCAAUUUAGACAUUAGGGAAGCUUUUAAUACAAACUUCAACCAGAUUUGUAAGUCAUACAACAGCCCAAAACUUGUUCAAACUACUCAGUCACCUUUUUCUCCUGCACAACAGAAGCAGAAGGUUUUACAGCAGCAGGAUCUUCUGGUGGCAAUCCAAGCUUCCGCCUUCUUUCUGCCUGUGGAAACAUAAAUCAACUGUUUACCCAAGUAUGGUAGUAGUCUAAAAGGUGAUGGAAAACAGAAUAGGCGCUCGGGAGAGAAUCUUGGGCUUAGUUGCCGAAUUGGGUCAAUGUGAAACAGACAUAUAGAAUGUUUUGAUUUAUUUAUUUAUUUAUUUGAUCAGAAACUAACAUUUAAUUUCAUUGAGCAUGAACUAAACAGUACAAAAGGAAGCAGCUACCCCUCACUGGGGAUACAACAUUCCAAAAGGAAAAGUUAAAGAAAGAAAACUGGAUUAGAACCGAAGGGUACAACUCAAGGUGGAAAAAAAUCCCCAGGUUGGACAAGUGAGAGGCCCUAUGUUUAGCUAAUUUAUCUUCAGUAUGUUUGGUAGUCCAAGGGAUCGAAUAGAUGAAGCACCUUAUACGAGCCAAUGAGCGUUUCCUUACCCUCUAAAUCUCUACAUGUCUUUUGAAAUCCUUACAAGCUCAUUUCUAUCAUAUUAAGAGAUUAUCAACUUAUUUUUUCAUUGAACAAUGAAUUCUGUUCCUGCAAGAAAACUUCCAAAAGGUCCUUCCUUCAAGAAUCUUAUACAAAAGAAAUUAUAAUAAAAUAAAAACUGAUCCAACUGAGACUAAUUCCAAUAAUUGGAAUGUUAUGUUCACCAGGAAUUUUCAUGAUUGGAAGUUGGAAGCUCAUGGUGACCUUCUUUCAAAAGUUUUACCCGAUGAGGACUGCAAGAGAACCAGAUAAUAUGCUUGUAUGGCAUAGAUAUCAAAUGGAAACUUCUCUAUCAAAUCCUUUUAUGAUGCUUUAGCCAAUUGUGGAAAUGUUGAAUUCCAGCCAGUAGGGUCCAGAGUUUUCAGGUCUACUAAGAUUGCUUUCUUUGCUUGGUGGCAAGAGACAAUGUCAAACUGGAUCAUUUGAUUGCUAGAAAAUAACCUAUUGCAAGUAGAUGUAUCAUGUUAUGGAAAUGGCAGAGACAAUGGAUGAGUUUUUUCCAUCAUUGCACGGUAGCUUCAAUCUUAUGGGCAAGUGCAUUCUCUUAGUUUGGGUUCAUCAAGUGAUGCCAAAGUAUGUUUUUCAGCUGGCUUCUAGUUGGCCAAGAGCCAAAGAGAGAUGUUUGGAGAGGAGUGAGACACAUCUACCCUUUUGAGAUUGGAUAGUUGUGUUAUCUUUUUUCUUAUUUUUUUCCCUUUUCUUUUUUAUUCUUUUCGUUCUUUGUUUUUUAUUCUGAUACAGUAUCAUUUUUAAUGAAUUUUCUAGCACCUGAUAACAGAUUCUCAGGAUUCACUCUCAUAUUUGCUGUAGGUUUCACUUGAGAAGAAAUUCUCAAGAUUUAUGCUCAUCUCAAGCAUAAGUUGCUUGUUAAUCAUCCACCCAAUGCAAACAUCCAACCACCCAGAUUGGAAGCAUCUGUUUAACAUGGUAAUCUAAACCAAGACAAUAAUACUAAUAAGUAAUAUUAAAAACCCAAUUCACGCUAACAAAAAAUAAUAAUAAUAAUAAUAAGUGUAAGUUGCUUGUUAAUUAUCCACCCAAUGCAUACAUCCAACCUUCCAGAUUGGGAGCAUCUGUUUAACAUAGUAAUAUAAACCGAGAUAGUAAUACUAAUAGGUAACAUGAGAAACCUAAUUCACACUAAUUAAUAAUAGUAAUAAUAAUAAUAAUAAUAAUAGUAAUAAUAAUAAUAAUAAUAAUAAUAAUAAUAACUUUAAAAAAAAAAACAUAGUCUACCAAAUAAUCAUUUUAUAUCCUGUACUCAUCCAAUGGAUAAGACCAGGCAGCAUUCACAACUAGCACAGCCAUCCAAAAACAAGAUAAAAAAAAAAAAAAAAACUACACAAGCAAAAAAUAGAAAAUAAAAAAUAAGGUACCGUGGAUGAGCUCUCAUUUUCCUACAUGAAUGCUUAAGUUUAAUGAUGCGAAUAAUACAUAAUUAAAAUACCAAACUCACAAAAAGAGACAGAAAAUUAGGUUCAUAAAAGGAAAUUACCUUAGAUUAAAAAAUAAACAUCAAGACAAAUAUGGUUACUAAUUGAUCAUAAACAUCAAUUUCAAAAUGCUGCUUCGUAAUCGAUUAUUAUUAACUUUUGAAUUGAAUAAACAAUUGUAAUUAAUUAAUAAGCAAUUAAGACCUUGUCUUCCUCCAAUUUCUGACGAAUUUUUUCCCUAGCUCUUUGCUCUUCCUCUUUCUCUGCUCUUCGCAAGGCCAAUAUACUGUGAAAGCACAACACAUCUUUCAUCUAGAAAUCCAAGAAUUGAGAGAAGGGACACUAGAUAUAAUAUGAUGCUAGGUUGAAAGGUAAUACAACUAGAUAUAUUUCAAAAAACUAGAUGAAAAACAAACCGUUUUCUUUCAUUUUCUUCCUCAAUUCGCUUUGCUUCAAGUAGUUCUUUGCCCACUCGAAUUCUCUCCUACAAAAAUUCAUAAAACCAAGUUAACCAAAUAUAGGAAAAGGAUUUGCAUAGGUUACAAUUGAAUAUUCUGAUACAGCACAACACAUGAUCAAAAGAAGGUAGAAAUCUGCAUAUUUUUUUAAUUAGAGAAAAUCUGUGCAUGAAAACUAACAAAGAAAAGUUUAAUUUAUACCAAGCCAUCAUCCUGGAGAACUAAUGAAACUUUCUCUUACAAUUUCAGGAAGUGCACUUGCUGAUAAACAAGGAUCUGAGCAUACAAGCCGUAAAUUUAGACCAAAUCAAACAAAACAUUAGUUCUCACCAUCAUGAUAUGCCAGGUCGCUAUUAUGCUUAUGCAACUGGCAGCAUGUUGUUAUCAAGCAAAGCAGAUAGCAUUUAGAAUCAUCUGGCACGUUAAUGAUAACCUUAACGUUGCCAAACUCUAUCAGCUAAUAAGGUUGCCCUUGAUUCUCAAGAAAAAGCUAGUAAGAAUGUUAAUUCAUUGUUCCCUUCAAUCACUGUGUUGGAGGAGGGCACUUGCAUCCAAAUACACUAACUAACUUGCUAGAUCCACAAUAGAGUUCUGUUCGCUUUUUGAUAGGCAAAAGAAUAAUCUGUGUUAAAAGUGCUUUAAGAAAAAAAGCACCAUCAGACAAGUAGAAAGGAAAAGAGAACAAAAAACAAUUUCCGUCUACCUACUUUGAGCUUAACCAAUCUACAAAGCCUAUCGUAUUCAAGGAAUUGACAUCUAAAAAAGAUUUGAUUGAUUGAUUCAAUUGUUCUGUAACUUCAAAUAACCUUCUAUUUCUUUCCCUUCAUAAAAUUUAAAAAAGAUAAAAAGGAACAGCCCUCCAAGCUUUCUUCUGCUUCAUCCCCACAAAAGAGUCACACCAAUUCAAAAGGUUUCCUCUUACUAAAGAAUGCAUAUCCCAAGCCACUUUCAAAAGAGAAAAAAACAGCUGCCGCAGAAUUCUUGCUUUGGGACACUCAAGAAGAAUAUGAUUAGCUUACUCAGCUUCCCUUAUACACAUGUAACAUCUGUUUGGUAGAGUCCAUCCCCUUCUUUGGAGUUGAUCAAGCAUUAAAAUCCUUCCCACAUACAGCUUCCCAAACAAAGAAACUGGAUUUCAAAAGAAUCCAAGGGUUCCACAUUGACCUUUUUUUACUCUUUUUUUUUUUUUUCAGAAAUGAAGAAAAAUAUAUUAAUAGAAGAAAAGAUAUAGGAGAAAGAAAAGAUACAAAAGAAAGAGAAGAAACCAAGGGAAGGAUGAGAGGUCCUUCCUACACAAACUGAACAAAAGAGAAAACUUCCAACAAUAGAAAUCUAAAAACAAAGAGAAACCCCAACAUUCUCAAACUUUUGAAGCGCAAACCGCAAUCCAGUUGAGUUGUAAAACACUUAGAGGAACUCCUCUAAAAGCUACAGUACAAGAAGCCCAUAGAGAGGAAUAGAACAGAAUCAAAUCCCAUAGCAUCUCUUCCAUUCUCCCCUUAUCCUCAAAGAUCCUAUUGUUUCUCUCUUGCCACACCAUCCAUACCAAAUUAAGGCAAGCAAUUUGCCAAAGUGUCUUGCCUCUUAAUGAGUUUCCCAAGCCUUUAAAAGCAAUAACCAACAUGUCCUCAAAACUCCUUGGAGGGACCCAAACCAACCCUGCUAGAUUGAACAACUUGUGCCAGAGUCCAAUGGUAACAGAACAAUGAAGAAAAAGGUGGUUGAUCGACUCUCCAUUUCCUUUGCAAAGAAUGCACCAUUGAGGACAGAGGGAUUUGUAGGGUCUUCUCAAUUGCAACUUAUCAUUGGUGUUUACCUUCCCAUGUGCUACUAACCAAGCAAGGGCCUUAACCUUUGAAGGGGAUUUUGAACUCCACAAAAACUUGGCCGGAAGGAACAAGAUAGGAUUUGAGACUUUUGAUAAGGCCAAGAAAAAAGAUUUCACUGAAAACAAGUCUGACGAUGAUAAAGACCACGCUCUUGAAUCUGGCAAAGAAGGAGAUAAAAGCACUGAACUAAGGGAGGACAUUAAUCUCUGAAGGAGAUCAAUUUCUGAAUCAGUAAGAUUGCGGCGAAAAUUAAAAUUCCAAGACAGUGGAAAGGAAUUGCCAAGGACAUUUGAGAAAGUGAGGUUUUUUACAGAAAUAACUCUAUAAAGAUCAGCAAAUUGAGAGCACAAAGUUUGGUUACCCCACCAAAGGUCUUCCCAAAAACGAAUUCUCUCCCCAUUGCCCACCACUAGGUGGACAAUAGGGGAAAAAACUUGGAAAACUUGAGCAAUAGCCUUCCAAGGGGAAAAAGACCCUUCUUUUACUCAGUUCAGCUUGUUAUGCAUUUAUCAGUUUCCAAUUUACUCCCCAUCUACUUUGUAUUUUAUGGUGCAUCAUCACUGCAUAAACAUUAUUAUAAAAAUAAUUCUUUUACUUGCAUAAUCAAAAUGGUAGUAAAUGUAUAUGUGUGCUUCCUAUGUAUAUUGCAACUGUAUUUACAUUCCAUUUUUCUAUUAAAUAAGAAACAACAGUUUUAUUGAAUUAUAAAGAAGAUAAAAGACUACAGGAAGGAUGAGGCAUUCUUCAAAAUAAACAAUAUUAGACAUGUAAAGUGAGUCACUAUAUAGUCAAACUCAAUUAAGCACUAGUGUGGAAUUUUUUUCCCUUUUUUUAUAAAAUGUACACCCACCGCAUAUAUAAUUCCUUACAAAAAUAUCUCAACCCCAAGAUCAGGAUUGGCUCCCUACCCCAAAUAUGACACAAUUUGUUCAUAGCAGGAAAAAAAUUACUCUAUAUAUAUAUAGUUGAUAUCAUAGAAAAGAGAAAUCUUUGAGAGAGUAUAGAGUUACCUUUUCUUUCUCUCUUUCCAUUCUUUUAUCUUCCUCUUCUUUUUUCUUGCGAGCUCGCUCCCUUAAAAGUAAGUAGAAGAUCAAAAAACAUGAGAUACAACAUAAUAAGAAGGGAACUAGAAAAGUCACAAUAUUAUAUCAAGAUUAUUAAACGGCAUUAAAUAUGCUCAAAUCACCAUUUUAGGAGAUAGUUACAGGGCAAUAAACAUCGCAUGCAUGAUGUACAGCAUAAAGGAGGUACGAGUUUUAUCACAUAGCCAACAUUCUAAAUUAAUUGUUUACUAUAACAAAGCCAUGUAUGAUACAUUAAGACAACUGUUAUCUUGUUAAUUAAAGAAAAGGUCUAGUUAAAUUUCCAAAAUAUAAUUAAACUUACAAGUUAGAGGAGGCAUAUAUUUGAAAACAUCAACACCACUGCAUAUACUUUUAUGAGAAAACAACAAAUUAAUGUGAUUGAAAGAAAUUCCAGAAAUAAAUUACACCAAAAAUAAUUUCAUAAAUGAACAAUAAUUAAAUUAAAAAAAUUAGAAAAAAAAGUUUGCUAUCAAAUUGAAUUGGAUUUAGACUAUUUGCAGAAACUAGAGCAAGGUAAGAAGAGAAGAAGCAAAAAUAGAGACUAAUCUGUGUCAUCUGUUCCGUGUUUUGUUACUUGGUUGUUGAUGUCACAUUAUGUUGCCAGAAUCUGUAAAGUUAGUAUAUGUUACUCGCUGAUGAGGUUUGUGGCUGUUGGAGUUGUUUGGCAUAACAGGGAUUGCAGCUGUAUGCACUUUUUCUAAGAAAGACAAUUCACAGUUUUCUUAAUCUAGAAAGAACACCCUCUAAGAAGUCUCUCAUUUUCCUCUUCUUUUCCAUUAUUUCAAGCUUGAUUAAGAAUAUAAAUUGCUAGACAGAACUAUAAUACUACUGCACAAACUCCACCAUACAGCCAUUCAGCAGUUUUUGGUACUUGAAUGCCAUUUCUCAGCAUUAUUAAAUCCAUGGGUGGAAAAUGAAAGAAAGCAAGCCAGUAUCUGCAAAAGCUAAGUGAUCUAUUAGAACAUGGUCUGAUGAGUGAUAUCAAGAAAGAGGACAACACACCACCUUAGUUCUUGAGCUUUGAUCUUCAUUUCUUCUGGUGUAAGAGAUGGUUUAGGAGCCUCAACUUUGGUGUUGACAGGUACCUGCACAAUGUUAAGUAUGUGACAGAAAAGAAAAAUGAAUAAGAAACAGAGUUUAUUAAAAUAACUAAGGAUAAAUAAAUAAAAAGAGAUAUCCCUUGCACAAGAAUAGCAGACAUCUGAAAUCCUAAUACACCUAAAUAAAGGCAAAAAGGCCCAUGCCAAAUUGAGCCACCCAAGGAGGAGCCAAGCAAACCAAUAGAAGUGCUAGGGAACUCCUGGUCAAGAAGACCAUAAAGAGAUCAAGAAGUAAAUACAAUCUCUCAGCUCUAUUGAGGAGCUUUGUCUCCUCGAAGAUCCUAGUGUUACUCUCAGUUCAUAUCACCCAAAGAAUGGCUAACAAAGCAUAUCUCCAUGGACACACUUAUUACCCUGCCAAAACCCUGAAAAGCUCUGACCAGCAUAUUUGUGAUCCCUCUCAAAGCCACCCUGCGAUUGCUGCAAUAGCAAAGAGGAACUGCCAAAGAUCACAAGCGAGCAGACCAUGAAGAAACAAAUGAUCAAUAGCCUCUUCAUUUUCCCUGUAUAGUUCAGUGCUGAUGGCUUGGAAAGGUCCCAAAUCUUACACGUCAUUGAUAUUCACUUCAUGUGAGACACUACCCAUGCAAAACUUUUUCCUUUAAGGAGGGCUUAGGAUACCAUAUCAGCUUGGCCGAAAAAAAUAGGUUGGUUAUCUUUCAUGUAGUGAUUGAAAAGGUUAUCAAGGCUUAUGCCUUCUAUAGCCUCAAUAUAAAGUAAUUAAAGCUUAUGCCUCAUUCUGCUUAGGCUUAUAGCCGCCUUGAGGCUUAAGCCUCAAAUAUUCAAAGGGUUUUACUUUGUCUAGGGCCUUUAUAAGUUUUUUGUAUAUAUUUUAUAAGCAGUUUAAGCCUCAAUAUUCAAGGGUUUUAAGGAGUUCUGCUUUUCUAGGGUUUUAGUAUAGUUUUACAAGUUAUGUCUUGGGUCUAAGACUAAGGUUAAAUCUUUUACAUAAUACAAACUUGGUUUCCAAUUAACCAUUUAACUAAAGAGGUAAAACAAAAUAAAAUAAAAUUAAGAAGAAGAAAUAAAGGAGUCGUUGGCCAAAAAAUGAGUUCAUGAAUAAUCAUUAUCUUACUAUUGAUAGAAAAGGAAAAAAUCACUACAGUUGAUGGAUGAAGAAGAAAAGUGGGUGGGCAUUAACACUAAUGGAGAGGAUAAAUAAAGCAAUUGGGUACGAGUAUGAUUCCUUGAGGAUCCUAUUAGUGAUAGUGAUAGGUAGUGCUGAAAAUUAUUUAAUGAACCCAUAAGAAAAGGUUGGAUUUUAGAAGAAAGAAAGAGGAACUAACUUAGAAACUAUUGAUAAUGACAACCAAUUAAUUUGAUCAUCAUGACUUGUAUGAUUUUCUUAUUAUUUAAUUUUAAUGAGAUUUUAUUAGUAUUUUUUCAAUUUUUUUAAGAUUUUCUCUUUCUCAUAUAUAUAUAUAUAUUGUAGCUAAUGCCUUGUUCUGUCUUAAGGCUUAAGCCUUGUCUCAAGUCUGCUUUUAAACUUUUAAAACAUUGCUUUCAUGGAAAGAAAAAGGAUGAAGGAAUAUGAAGCAAGAAGGUUGUUGAAAAAGUUCCCAAUCCAUCAAGAGACCAGCAUCUCUCAUCUAGGGUAGAACAAAGAACUACAAUUUUCAAAGGAAGGAACAAAGCCAAAUUAAGAAUCUUUCCCUCUGAGAUUUUUGUAUCCUUUGUUUGACAUAGCUCCUCUACUUCAAAAGUGAAGUCUUCCUUCUGGGCCAGACAGAGAGAAAAGUAAAUUAUGGUCAAGUAAUAUUUGAGUCUCUUGCUCCUUUUUAUUUGAAUAUAUAUUUUUCAUGUGCUUUUCCAAACGAUAUUUGAAUCUCUUGCAAUAAAACUUUAGGAAGAGGACCUCGGUGCCAGAAUGAACAACAACAUUUUAAUACUACUUCAUGAUAGAUAUAUUAAAUACAAGAGUGUGAGAUGCUACCAUGUGAAACCAAAUAACAGUUCAUGUGGCAUGCCCACAGUAUGACAAAGCAAAUGAUGUUGAACAGAAUGAAGCCAUAAAUAAAAUCUUGCAACAAUGGAACCCAGACAAACAAGGGAAUCUGUUGCUAACAAGAAGUUAAGGUCCAAAAGGCUGUUGAAUGAAACCAAAGCAACAAUGAAGGAGCUUCAUUACAUGAAAGCCAUUGUUGAAAAGUGUUACAACACUAGAAUCAUGUUCCAGCAACAAAUAUAUACGAAGCCAAGCAAAUGCAAACAUAAAUAUUGCCUUCGCCUAUAGUCAUUACUACAUCGAAGUGCUCACUCGUGUCUUCUGGAGCUCCUGAAACCCACCUUAAACUAAUUUCUACUUCUGGAAUAUGAUUAGUUGAAUACUAUGGCUUCAAACUAUGAAAAAAAUUAGAUAAAAAAAAUUCAAAACAGGGGACCAAUAUAUAAAAAAACUCAAAAAAGGAAGCUGCACACAGAGCUACUAAAAAGCAGAUAAGUGAAGCCAUCAUACCAAGGGCAUCUCAUCUAUGUCUGAAUCAUUCUCAUGUUCAACUACCCAGUUUACAGCAGCUUCAAGGCUGGUGUUACCUGAAUCGGAGGUAAAAAUAUUCAGAUAAUUACAAAGACUCUUGAUUUGGAAACAUGAAAGUAUACUAAAUAAAUAAAUAGAGAUGGAGAUACACAUGAUGCUAAAAGAAUAUCAAAAGGGAAAAGCAACCAAGUGGUUAUCUGUUAUAUAGUGCUUAGGGAUGUUAUAGGAAAAGAGCUAAAGCACUACAAAGCAUACAAAAAAGCACAUUACAUAAAAUCUAAUCACAAUUUGAUGAGCAGCAGGUAUUGUUCCCUUUUUUUUUUAAUCAAAGACAAAAACAAAACCAAAAAAAAAAAAAAACAGAAACGAAAAUAAAAGAUAAAAAAUUGAUUAGAUGAAGAGUUUUUAUUAAGAUGGGAAAUGCUUCAGCAAGAUGUAAGGUGUAUACUUUCAUCCUCUCUGAUUUGUUCUCCUUUUUCUUCUGCAAUUUUGGACUUCUUGUAGUUGUUCCUUCCUUCUCUUGUAGAUCUCUUUUUUUAGAGCCCUUUUUUGGUAAUUCCAAUGCUCAUCAUUUCUUGUUUGGAAGGGAAAAGACAAAGCUAAGAAAAAUGCUAGAGAAAAACACAGACUAAGUUCAUGUUUUCAUUGCCUAAAACCUUUUAUGAUUGUUCAAGAGUUCCAAAGCAAAGCACUUUCAAAUAGAAGCAAUUAGAUCCAAUUUGCCCAUCUACUUUAUGUCCUUGUUUAGCAUUUCGAGGAAAGUUAUACUGAGGAUUGAAAAGAUUCAAGAGAUUUUAUCUAGUGAGGUGGGGCUCUAGAGAUAUAACCACACUUAGUGAAGUGGUGGAUUGUUUGCAUAGGAAAAAGGAGGGUAUUAGAUCUCUUCGCUUAUUAAGGCCCUUCUUUGCAAGUGGAGCUCAUAGGAGGAAUAUAUGAGAAGAAUGAGGAGGGAGAAGAUAGGGGGGAAAAGAAGGGGGUGUUGGGUGGGUAAAGGAUUGGACUACGGAAAAUGAUUAGGAAGGAUUGAGAUCUCUUUAAUAGUAGAGUCUUUUUCUUAGUGGGUAAUGAGAAGGUGAAGUUUUGGAAGGAUAAAUUGUGUGGAGAUGUGCCUUUGCGUAUAUCUUUUCCCUCUUUAUAUGCUUUAGCAUUAUCAAAAGAAUCGUGAAUGGGGGAUUUAUAGGACUAGACAAGUGAAUUGAGUCACUUGAGUCCUUGUUUUUCUAAGCAUUUGAAGGAUUAGGAACUAAACAACAUAAAGCUUUUUGAAUAGGUAAUAUUGACAUCUAUUGCCUUACGCUAAUGUAAUAUAUGUGAACUAUUAUCUUUUUUCUUGUAGUGUGGAUCCAAUUUACUUUUUGCUUAGAAUCUCGAGAUUGAUGAAAUACCACUCUUUGAAGAAAAUAAGGCACCAACCAUUAACCAUUUGACGAUUACUUCUCCUAGUUUCUCAAAUGACAAGGAAUGAAGUAUGAAGAAAAGAACCAAUCAUUAACCAGCCGAAUAGCAACAAGUCAACAGGACUGUAGUCAAGCAAGAAGGCUAAAUUUCACAUAUUAUACAAUAAAUGAUAAAUUUAGUAUCAAAAUUGGCAUGAACAAUAGUUGCAGCUAUUUUUGAAAUGAAUUAUCCAUAACAAUAGAAGUACUAUAGGCCAAUAGACCAAGUUUUGGAGUGAAUACACCACCAAAAAUCCAAACUAGUAGCAUAAAAGACAAGAAAUCCCGGUAGAUAUUGGAGGCUUUGAUGCUGGCCAUGGAUUUAAUAGUUAUCAGAACCCCACAUUUUGCUCCUCUUAAACUAUUUGGGCCAUUUCAAACUUCAACUUCCAUUCAUGUCAUAAAGUCCCCUAUAUGGCACUAGAGAGACACCUCCAAGGGAAGCAAACAAAUAAUUUCCAAAGUAAACAUGGAAAUAAUAUGGUUGCUAGAUGCAAAUAUCAGCACAUGCAAAGGCACAAAGCAAAAAGGAAGAAGCACAAGAGCUUAAGAAAUGAUUAGAAGCUAGCUAGAUGAGAAAUACUCAUCCAUCACUCUUUUUUAUUUUUUUAUUUUAUUUUUUUUUUUGAUUGGAAACGACACAAAGAUUUAUUGAUAGAAAAAAAGUACAAAAGAAGGAUGAGGAAUCCUCCUGCCAAAGACAGCUAAACUAAAGAAAAAUACACUGAAAAACGCGCAACACUCUAAAAAGACCACUCCUUAUGGAGUACAUACAGCUAUCCAAUCAAGAAGUAACGCAUUAAGGGGAGUCCCCUUAAAAACCUUGGAACAAUAGGCCCAAAGAGAAGCAAGGAAAACAAUAGAGUCCCAUAGAGCCUCUGAAUUCCUUGCUUUAUCCUCAAAAAUCCUCGCAUUCCUUUCCCUCCACACAAUCCGAAUAAGAGCGAUGUUUGCAGCUUGCCACAAGGCUAUCCCCCUCUUAGACGAACCAAAUCCAUUGAAUUUGAUGUUCAUCAUGUCAAGGAUGCUUCUCGGGGGAACCCAAUCCAUCUUAGCUAACUGAAAUAACCUGUGCCAUAACCCAAUCGUCAAGGAGCAAUGAAGAAAAAUAUGAUCAGCUGAUUCCCCAUGCUUCAUGCACAGAAUACAAAUAUCCGGACUAAGGGCUUUGUAGGGUCUUCUCACUUGUAGCAUGUCAUUAGUAUUCACCUUCUUGUGUGCCACUAACCAGAUGAAGGACUGCACUUUGAAGGGAAUUUGAGAAUUCCAAACGAAUUUAGAAGGAAAAACCUGAGGAGGACCAAAAAAUUGGGAUAAAGCUAGAAAGAAAGAUUUAACUGAAAAAAGCCCUGAAUAAGCCAAGGGCCACUAUCUGGCAUCUGGAACUGAAGGAGAUAAAUGCACUCCAUCAAGAGAGCGCAUGAGGCCUUCUAAGUCCUCAAUCUCAGAAUCUGACAAGUUACGACGGAAAUUUAAAUUCCAAGAGAAAGGGCGAGUAGGACCAAGAACUGAAGAAAUAGGUAUGUUUUUAUCCAAGACUACUCUAAAUAGACUUGGAUAUUGGGAUCCCAAAGGUUGGUCCCCCCACCACAAAUCUUCCCAGAAGCGAAUUCUUUCCCCAUUUCCUACCACAAAUCGAGUAAACGAGGAAAACUCUUGAAAGACUUGAGAAAUAGCCUUCCAAGGACAACGAUGUGACCAUCUGACUAUUGUGUUAGCAUCCCAACCAUUGGAGUGUGAACCAUAGAUGCUUAGUAUGACCUGAUGCCAUAGAGCUGAACCCUCUCUAGGGUACCUCCACAACCACUUCCCUAAAAGAGCGAGAUUUCUUAGAGAAAUAUUCCCAAAACCCAAACCCCCUAUUUCCUUCGGUUUACACACGACAUCCCACCUGACUAGAUGAUCCUUUUUACCUUCCCCAAUCCCUGACCAUAAAAAAUCCCUCUGCAACCUCUCUAUUUUUGCAGCAACUGAAGCGGGUAACUUAAAUAAAGAGAGAUAGUAACAGGGCAUAUGGGUAAGGCAAGAUUGGAUGAGAGUUAUCCUCCCGCCGAAGGAUAGGUAUGCCUUUUGCCAACCAUCUAAUCUUCUUGAAAUUCUCUCAAUCACAGGAUCCCAAAAACCACCUGCCCUGGGGUUCCCGCCCAAAGGAAGACCCAGAUAUAGUAUAGGCCAGCCAGAAGCCUUGCGUCCAAGUGUCUCAGCCAAUCUUGAAAUAUGAGCAUGAUCCAAAUUGAUGCCAUAAAUAUUACUCUUGUCUAAAUUGACCUUAAGUCCGGAAAUAUGCCCAAAUGCUAACAAAAGACUCUUGAGAGUCUGCAAGUCUUCCUCCCUAGUGUUAGAAAAGAAGAUGGUGUCAUCGGCAAAUUGCAAAUGAGAUACCCUAGUUCUAUUUCUACCCACCCUGAAACCCUCCAACAUAUUUCUCUCCUCUGCUCUCACAAGCAUCCUACUCAAUACAUCUGCUACUAAAGUAAACAAAAAGGGGGAUAAAGGGUCUCCUUGUCUUAAUCCUCUCGAUGCCUUAACCCAACCUUUAGCGCUACCAUUCACCAAUACUGCAUAAGAUACCGAGGACAAGCAUCCAUUCAUCCAUUUCCUCCAUUUAGGACUAAACCCCUUCUUCUCCAACACUUGAUCUAAAAAAUCCCACCUUACGUGAUCGUAAGCCUUUUCAAAAUCAAUUUUAAAGACGACUCCUUCCUCCCCUGAUCGUCUUCUCUCAUCCACUAUCUCAUUUGCUAUGAGGACUGCAUCCAUUAUUUGUCUCCCUUGAACAAAAGCUCCUUGAGUAGAAUGGAUGGUUUCAUGUAAUACCCCUCUUAGACGCCCUGAGAGCACUUUGGCUAUUAUCUUAUAGAGACUAGUGAUCAAACUAAUGGGUCUAAAGUCUGAGAUUUUCUUUGUCGUACUCUUUUUGGGCAAAAGAACAAUGAAAGAGGCAUUAGUGCUUUGAUUGAUAACUCCGCUCCUGUGAAACUCUGCAAACACUCUCACUAAAUCCUCCUUAAUCACAUCCCAACAGUCUUGGAAUACUGCAAUAGUAUAGCCAUCAGGCCCCGGAGCCUUGUCCCUAUCCAUCUGAAAUAUGGCCUUAGAAAUCUCUUCUUCUGUAAAAGGGGCAACCAAACUUAUUGCACUUUCUUCCGAAAUAGGAGACCAAUCUAAGCCUUCAAUACUCCAAGACUCUCCUAUAGGAUUCGCGUAGAGUUUUUCAAAGUAGAGUAAGAUCUCCUCUGUGAUGCUCACGGCAUUAUUCAACACUAAGCCCGUUUCAUUUUCCAAUGACUUGAUAUACUUCCUAUUUCGCCUACCAUUAGCCACUUUAUGAAAAAACUUAGAAUUGCAAUCCCCUUCCUUAACCCAUUUCACCCUAGCUUUUUGUCUCCAAUGGAUUUCCUCCCUCAAAAUUAAAUCCUCUAGCUCCCCUUUUCUUAAGGCUCUUUGACCUAACAAUUCAGAGGUGAGACCCCCAUCCUGCUCGAUGGCGUCUAAGUUAGCUAAAUCCUUGAGGAUACUUUUUUUCUUUUCAUUAAGCACUCCAAAAGACAGCUUAUUCCAUUCCUUCGCUUUGGCUUUAACAAAUUGUAAUCUCCUCAUGAACUUGUGGCCUUCCCAUCCGUUUCCUUGAAAACCCCUCCACCAAUUUCUAAAGUUCUCCUUGAAACUAGGAUGUUGCAGCCACAUGUUCUCAAAUCUAAAAGGAGUUGGGCCCCACGUGAACGGAUUGGUAUCCAAAGCAAUUGGCCAAUGAUCCGAGGUCCUUCUGAUAAGGGUUUCUUGAAUGCCUUGGGGAAAUAGCUGCCCCCACUCAUUUGAGUAAAGAAAACGGUCUAAUCUCUUGCACACGGGAGACUCUUGCAUAUUUGACCAAGUGAAUGAUGCGUUCCUAAGAGGUGGAUCAAGUAAUUCACUUUCACUAAUAAAACUAUCAAAAUCCCUCAUGCUUGAAGUUAGCCUAGAGCCCCCCAAUUUUUCUGAACUUCUCCUUAUGACAUUAAAAUCACCGCCCACACACCACAACGGAAAAGUUAGACCACAAAUGUCAUAAAGUUCCACCCAAAAAUCCUUCCUAAGUGAGGGACUAUUUGGACCAUAAACUGCAGAAAUCCAAAGAGGUCCACAUCCCUCCAAGGCGAAUUUGACCGAUAUCGAGAAAGAGCCUAAU